GUCUCCUGACCACCACUGUUGCCCCAACAACAACUACCAACUCCACACCACUUCCUACCCUUUUGACUUCAGUGACAUCAACAACUAGAUUCGGCACAGUGGGAGUUUUUGUUAAACUGAUAUUCAAGGUCAAAACACCAGUCCCCACUGAGGAUGAUGUCCUUGGUGCCGUCAAGAAACAAUUGUCUCCUCAAUUCACGACCACUCAAACCACCUUCCAGAAUGCAACUUAUAUCAAACUUACAGAUACUUCAUUUGCCAUCGACCUUGGUUUCAAAAUAACCAAUGUAACCCAGGAGUCUCUAAGUAAUAGACUCACACUCACCAAUGAGACCGAAACCCAGAUACAGGAUUCAAUUAACAGACUAGUAAGAUACUGUACUUCUUUCUACACAUAAGAUACAUCCAUGGUCAUGUUCAGGUCAUGAUAGUAAUUGACAACUUGAUGUUUUGUCCCCUUUUAGCUCCAAAAGGUUCUCAGUGAACCAGAUGGCAAACAGUUUAAAUUUCCCAACGCCAACCUCAUGUAAGUACAACGUCAUAACCUUGAACCAACCUGUCUUUCUCAACUGCACUCUUUAGAAUUUCUGCAGAUUUCAUUUAGCUGCUGCUUGUACAGCUAAACAGGAUGAAGGGAACAUGUUUAACUCUCACACAAAACCCAUUUUUACGUCCACAGUGUUGAUGGCACUGAAAUCACGGCAAACGUGACAUAUGUAUACAAAGAGGAAGAUGUCAACCACCCUAGUGGUUUUCUACAGGAAGUCUUAAAAGUCUCAGGUCUCCUGACCACCACUGUUGCCCCAACAACAACUACCAACUCCACACCACUUCCUACCCUUUUGACUUCAGUGACAUCAACAACUAGAUUCGGCACAGUGGGAGUUUUUGUUAAACUGAUAUUCAAGGUCAAAACACCAGUCCCCACUGAGGAUGAUGUCCUUGGUGCCGUCAAGAAACAAUUGUCUCCUCAAUUCACGACCACUCAAACCACCUUCCAGAAUGCAACUUAUAUCAAACUUUCAGAUACUUCAUUUGCCAUCAACCUUGGUUUCAAAAUAACCAAUGUAACCCUGGAGUCUCUAAGUAAUAGACUCACAUUCACCAAUGAGACCUACGUCCAGAUACAGCUUUCAAUUAACACACUUCUCCGUCAACUUCUCAGUGAACCAAACGGCAACCAGUUUCAAUUUCCCAACGCCAACUUCAUGUAA
rnacentral:lncRNA from 1 species